UACGGAGGGGGCUAGCGUUGUUCGGAAUUACUGGGCGUAAAGCGCACGUAGGCGGCUUUGUAAGUCAGGGGUGAAAGCCUGGAGCUCAACUCCAGAAUUGCCUUUAAGACUGCAUCGCUCGAAUUGUGGAGAGGUAAGUGGAAUUCCGAGUGUAGAGGUGAAAUUCGUAGAUAUUCGGAAGAACACCAGUGGCGAAGGCGACUUACUGGACACAUAUUGACGCUGAGGUGCGAAAGCGUGGGGAGCAAACAGG
rnacentral:rRNA from 1 species